rnacentral:tRNA from 5 species
GGGCAAUUAACUCAUUGGUAGAGUGUAUCUCUUACAAAGAUAUGGCGGUUGGUUCGAUUCCAACAUUGCCCACCA